UACGUAGGGGGCUAGCGUUGUCCGGAAUCAUUGGGCGUAAAGCGCGUGUAGGCGGUCCGGUAAGUCCGCUGUGAAAGUCGGGGGCUCAACCCUCGGAUGCCGGUGGAUACUGUCGGGCUUGAGUACGGAAGAGGCGAGUGGAAUUCCUGGUGUAGCGGUGAAAUGCGCAGAUAUCAGGAGGAACACCAAUUGCGAAGGCAGCUCGCUGGGACGUUACUGACGCUGAGACGCGAAAGCGUGGGAGCAACAGG
rnacentral:rRNA from 1 species